AGUAACACGUGGGUAACCUGCCCAUCAGAAGGGGAUAACACUUGGAAACAGGUGCUAAUACCGUAUAACAAUCGAAACCGCAUGGUUUCGAUUUGAAAGGCGCUUUUGCGUCACUGAUGGAUGGACCCGCGGUGCAUUAGCUAGUUGGUGAGGUAACGGCUCACCAAGGCAACGAUGCAUAGCCGACCUGAGAGGGUGAUCGGCCACAUUGGGACUGAGACACGGCCCAAACUCCUACGGGAGGCAGCAUG
rnacentral:rRNA from 1 species